ensembl:lncRNA
UAUCAAGAGUAUGCACAAAGGGUAAAUGGUAUAAUUCUGUCUUUGCACCACAUUACUGUUUCUGACUAGAAAAUGAUCAUUGGACUAUAGAUAACUCUAUGAGGGUUAUUAAGGUGGGGGAAUUUGAAAAAGCAACUAAUCAUUAAAACAUAGGAUUUUUUCCCUAGAAUUUCCCAGCUUCAUCUGAAAGUUAAAUGUAAACUGCUUAAUAUGGCUUAACUGUUAAAAUUUUGAGUAGUUCAUUACUUAGCAAAUAAUGCAAAAAAAUAUUUUUAAAUGUUUCUGAAUUGAUACAUUGAAGCAUAUUAACAUAGAUACCUCUAUCAAACAAGAUUACUUACACUGAAGACUCAAUUCAAAAAUACAAACAAAACCUAUUACAUAUUAUUGCAGCACUUUAUGCAAGAUUGAUGGAUGGAACAUGUUUAAAAGGAAGCAACUAGGCAAUAGUGCAACAACAAAAAUAUCGAGACUGUCAAAACUUCUGUGUUAAAUUCUUAAAGCAUUUACUUUAGACAUUUAAAAUAAUUCAACUGAAAUUACAUUUUCUCCUGGAAAUGACUAUAUAUUGAUAGUGAUUUUGCAGAAUGCUUUACGGUAAUUUUGUUUCUUUUUUCUUUUUUUUAGCACCUACCUAAUAGGUAGAUUUUAUUACAGAAAAUCUUUGAUUCUUUAUAAAGAAAGACCUACAUUUAGGAAAUAGUACCUAUGUUAAAUAAUGAAAGAUGAGAUUACUUGGUAAAGUAGAAUUUAAAAAAUACUUUUCAGAUUUUUUUCAAGUAUGUAUACAAGUUCUCCAGUGGGGCUUCAUGUGCCAGAUUUUCUAUUGUAAAAGGCCAUUAGCCAUCUUGUCCUUCAGUUAAAAAAAAACCCAGAAAACCCAACCUUUACUUGAAAUGGGAUUGGUAGUUCAAACUCCCAAAUGAAGGAGAUGCCUAAUUUAAUUCCAAAUUCUAUUCUACAUUUGAGUUUUGAUCUAAAUAUUAAAUUGAAGAGGUAUAAGCAGUUUCAAGAAGCUCCCUAGCUUAUAAUGAUUCUAUUAAAUGAGCUAAGGAUAAUCGAUUGUAUUGAUGACAUACAUACUUCACAUGCAGAACUGUGGGUUGCAUUGUAAUUUCAUUAUUGUAGGCUGCCAUUAGGUUUCCAGUCUGUAGAAUGAGCUAUGGAAUUGAAUUGGCACUUAUUGCUUUAUUCUCUGUUUACUUUCAAAACCUUUGCUUUGUCUCUGGUGUUGUGCAGUUUCACUGUGCUAAAUCUAGGUGUGGUUUUAUUAUUUAUUUGCUCACGUCUUGCCUCUUGCCCAGUUCUUUUUACUUUUUGGAAUUCCUAUGGUAUUGCUAGCAUACAACUUUUGAAUUUCUUUUCUCUGUCUCAACAGCUUUACUGUUUUUCCUUCUCCUUCCAUUUCUGUGCUGAGUAUCUUCAGCUUCAACCACUCCCCAUGAAGUCAUCUCCACUUAGAUAUCUAAUAGACACCUAAUUUUAAAAUAAUAAAAUUUGGGCUUCCCUGGUGGCACAGUGGUUGAGAGUCCGCCCGCCGAUGCAGGGGACACAGGUUCGUGCCCCGGUCCGGGAAGAUCCCACAUGCCGCUGAGCGGCUGGGCCUGUGAGCCAUGGCUGCUGAGCCUGCGCGUCUGGAGCCUGUGCUCCGCAACGGGAGAGGCCACAACAGUGAGAGGCCCUCAUACCGCAAAAAAAUUUUUUUUAAAUAAAACUUGAUUCAACUCUUCUCCAUCACUGACAGUU